GGGACCCAGGCGUCCGGGUCGUGUCCCCCCCGUCCAGGUGGACGCCCAGCUGCUGCUGGUGCAGAAGCUGGAGGAGAAGGAGCGGGUGCUGCAGGGCAGCUUGGCCUCGGUGGAGAAGGAGCUGGCGCUGCGCUCGCAGGCCCUCGAGCUCAACAAGAGGAAGGUGAGAGACGGGGGGGCCCAGGCGUCCGGGAGGGGCCCAGGCGUCCGGGAGGGGCCCAGGCGUCCAGGAGGGACCCAGGCGUUUGGGAGGGGCCCAGGCGUCCGGGAGGGGCUCAGGAGUCCGGGGAAGGGCCCAGGCAUCCAGGAGGGGCCCAGGCGUCCGGGAGGGAUCCAGGCGUCCGGGAGGGGCCCAGGCGUCCGGGAGGGAUCCAGGCGUCCGGGAGGGAUCCAGGAGUCCAGGAGGGAUCCAGGCGUCCGGGAGGGGCCCAGGCGUCCGGGAAGGGCCUAGGCGUCCGGAGAGGGACCCAGGUGUCCAGGAGGGAUCCAGGAGUCCGGGAAGAGGAUCCAGGUGUCCGGGAGGGGCCCAGGCAUCCGGGAGGGACCCAGGCGUCCGGGAGGGAUCCAGGAGUCCGGGGAGGGGCCCAGGCGUCCGGAAGGGGCCCAGGAGUCCGGGAGGGGCCCAGGCGUCUGAGAGGGACCCAGGCGUUUGGGAGGGGCCCAGGCGUCCGGGAGGGGCCCAGGAGUCCAGGAGGGAUCCAGGCGUCCGGGAGGGACCCAGGAGUCCAGGAGGGAUCCAGGAGUCCGGGAAGAGGAUCCAGGUGUCCGGGAGGGGCCCAGGCAUCCGGGAGGGACCCAGGCGUCUGGGCAAGGCAGGACCCAGGCGUCCGGGUGGGAAGGGACCCAGGCGUCCGGGCACAUGGGGGUCCGGGCAGGAAGGGGCCCAGGCGUCCGGGUGCACAGGGGUCUGGGUGGACAGGACCCAGGUGUCUGGGCGUGGGGGACCCAGGUGUCCGGGCAGGAAGGGGCCCAGGCGUCCGGGCAUAUGGGGGUCCGGGCCUGGCAGGGCCCAGGCGUCCGGGCAAGGUGGGACCCAGGCGUCCGGGUGGACGGGGCCCAGGCGUCCGGGUAAGGUGGGACCCAGGCGUCUGGGUGCAUGGGGGUCUGGGCAGAUGGGGCCCAGGCAUCCGGGCAGAAGGGGCCCAGGCGUCCGGGUGCAGCAGGACCCAGGCGUCCAGGCACACGGGGCCCAGGCGUCUAAGUGCAUGGGGGUCUGGGCAGAUGGGGCCCAGGCGUCCGGGCAAGGCAGGACCCAGGCAUCUGGGCAGGAAAGGGCCCAGGCGUCCGGGCGCAUGGAGGUCCUGGUGCAUGGGGGGUCCGGGCACGUGGGGCCCAGGCAUCUUGGCACAUGGGGAUCCAGGCAGACGGGGCCCAGGUGUCCGGGCGCAUGGGGGUCCGGGCCCAGCAGGGCCCAGGCAUCCGGGCAGAUGGGGCCCAGGCGUCCGGGCAGGAAGGGACCCAGGUGUCCAGGUGCAGCAGGACCCAGGCAUCCAGGCACAUGGGGGUCCAGGCAGACAGGGCCCAGGCGUCCGGGCAAGACGGGGCCCAGGCGUCCGGGUGCAGCAGGACCCAGGUGUCCAGGCACACGGGGCCCAGGCAGAUGGGUCCCAGGCGUCCGGGCAGAUGGGACCCAGGUGUCCAGGCACACGGGGGUCCAGGCGUCCUAGCGCACGAGGAUCCUGGCGCACGGGGAGGGGUAGAUCGAUUUGGGCGCGCGGGGCCCAGGCGUCCGGGACCCAGACAUCCUAG
ensembl:lncRNA